rnacentral:rRNA from 1 species
GCACAAGCGGAGGAGCAUUGUGGUUUAAUUUCGAUGAUACGCGAGGAACCUUACCUGGGCUUAAAUGCUUAAUGACGUACUGGGAAACUGGUAUUUCUUCGGACAUUUUGCAAGGUGCUGCAUGGUUGUCGUCAGCUCGUGCCGUGAGGUGUCGGGUUAAGUCCCAUAACGAGCGCAACCCCUAUGUUAGUUGCCAUCAGGUCAUGCUGGGGACUCUAACAAAACUGCCCGCGUAAGCGUGGAGGAAGGUGGGGAUGACGUCAAAUCAGCACGGCCCUUACGUCCAGGGCUACACACGUGCUACAAUGGCCGGUACAGAGGGCAGCCACUUGGUGACAAGGAGCAAAUCUCAAAAGCCGGUCUCAGUUCGGAUUGGAGUCUGCAACUCGACUCCAUGAAGUUGGAAUCGCUAGUAAUCGUGGAAUCAGCAUGCCACGGUGAAUACGUUCCCGGGCCUU